rnacentral:rRNA from 1 species
UGGGGAAUAUUGGACAAUGGGCGCAAGCCUGAUCCAGCCAUGCCGCGUGAGUGAUGAAGGCCCUAGGGUUGUAAAGCUCUUUCACCGGUGAAGAUAAUGACGGUAACCGGAGAAGAAGACCCGGCUAACUUCGUGCCAGCAGCCGCGGUAAUACGAAGGGGGCUAGCGUUGUUCGGAUUUACUGGGCGUAAAGCGCACGUAGGCGGACUUUUAAGUCAGAGGUGAAAUCCCGGGGCUCAACCCCGGAACUGCCUUUGAUACUGGAAGUCUUGAGUAUGGUAGAGGUGAGUGGAAGUCCGAGUGUAGAGGUGAAAUUCGUAGAUAUUCGGAGGAACACCAGUGGCGAAGGCGGCUCACUGGACCAUUACUGACGCUGAGGUGCGAAAGCGUGGGGAGCAAACAGG